rnacentral:lncRNA from 1 species
CUCCAGGUUGAAACGAUGGCGGUCAGAACCGCCUGAGCUAAAUGCAAGAUGGUAUGGCAUCCAGACUCUGCUCAUAAGUAUCUGCAGUGAUCCAUACCUUGAUUGUACAUCUACUCUGCAUCCUGAGGACCUGAACAUGCUAACUGGUGGCUGCAGAUUUGUCUUCUAAGGAGCAAGUGUGGUCUGUGGACAGGCAGCUUCAGCCUCACCUGGGAUUUUGUUUGCACUAGAAAGUGCCAAGCCCUACCCUAGACCUAUUAAAGCAGAACUGGCGUUUAACAAGACACCCCAGGUAAUUUGUGUGCACCUUAGAGUCUGAGAUGCACUAGUGUAGUGAUUCGCAGGGGGACAAUUUUGACCUCCAGGGGACAAUAUCUGGAGACAUUUUUGGGUGUCACAACGUGCUGGGGAGAGGGUGCUACUGGCAUCUAAUGGGCUGAGGCCAAGGGUGCUGCUAAACAUCUGGCAAUACCGGGCCAACCUCCCCCCUCCUCCUGCCCACAGUAAAGAAUUACCCCGCCUGGAUUGUCAGUAGUGCAGAGGUAGAGGAAACCCUACACCUGUGAAACUCAUCUGACCUUUACUAUGAAUUCCUGGAUCUCCUGGUGCAUAUCAUUUCUGUUGCCCUGGCUGACAUUUCCACCUUUUCUCUUUUCUAGAUUUUAUUACAAGAACUCAAUCUGUUGGUCUCUAGGAAUCACCUAUUGCCUUGCUAUGUUUUGUUGAACCUGUUUUUGAAUCUGCUUUCUACAUUGGGGAAAUAGGUAUACGUUUGUAAACCUUAAAAGCUCUGUAUGCUAUAAGGAAAUCACCAGACACGUGGAUAAGCUUUGCAGAGGUGAAGGGCUGUCUCCACCAGAGAGACCCAGAAGGAGUCAGGGUAAGCCUGACUCAUCAUGAGAUCAGGUAUCCCCAAUCCACAGCGGACUUCCACAGUUCACCUUCCUAGGUAACCGCUCUGCCUUCCCAGGUAAAGUAGGAAUAAUAUCAGAACUUACAGCAUAUUUUGAGGUCAAAUUGUAGAAUUUGGUGAUUUCAUUUUUAUUAUUACUCAACCUUUUAUUUACAACCAAAUUAAUAAGGCUACUUACACAUAACAAUGUGUGGACAUACACAUUAAGAGAAUCAUUUGCUGCCUAGCACUCCUACCUAGGUACUUUAAGAACAUCAUUGAGUGGAUACUCCCUCUGCUGGGUAAAAUACUUUGCCACAAUAUCAGCUGAAAUGAUACCUCUUCCAGACUGUAAUGGCAGAAGUAGUUAUCCCCUCUUUCGUGCUGUCAUCACACUUGAUGCAUGCCUACUUUAUAAUACUUAUGCCAUUGUCUCUGUUAUUGGGUUUCUGUCUUCUACUGUGAAAGGGUGAGCCCAUAAAAAACAGGGAAUGUGUCUUUCAAAAUGUUGUAUCCUGCUCAUUCUGAUGUGAAGCCAUUGUCCUCCUUCAAUAAAAUAAAACAGCAUUUC